AGCGAACGCUGGCGGCAGGCCUAACACAUGCAAGUCGAACGAACCUUUCGGGGUUAGUGGCGGACGGGUGAGUAACACGUGGGAACGUGCCUUUAGGUUCGGAACAACUCAGGGAAACUUGAGCUAAUACCGCAUGUGCCCUUCGGGGGAAAGAUUAAUCGCCUUUAGAGCGGCCCGCGUCUGAUUAGCUAGUUGGUUGAGGUAAUGGCUCACCAAGGCGACGAUCAGUAGCUGGUCUGAGAGGAUGAUCAGCCACAUUGGGACUGAGACACGGCCCAAACUCCGACGGGAGGCAGCAGUGGGGAAUCUUGCGCAAUGGGCGAAAGCCUGACGCAGCCAUGCCGCGUGAAUGAUGAAGGGCUUAGGAUUGUAAAAUUCUUUCACCGGAGACGAUAAUGACGGUACCCGGAGAAGAAGCCCCGGCUAACUUCGUG
rnacentral:rRNA from 1 species